AGAAUCUGCACUGAAAAAGGUUUACAGGAGGUGGUUGAAAAAUGGCCAGCAAUUGUUCAGAACCAAUUACAUCAUGUUCAGCUGCUGAUAUGUGGAAGUCUUGGUUUGGUUUGAUCCCCACACCAGGCUCCAUUUCCUGCUCCCUGUAUUCAGCUCACAGAUGGCACUCUCCCAGGAUUGUUUGCUGUUCCUGGAACACACAGAGCACUAUAAAAUCAGGGCUGACCAUUUGAGGAUGGAUAACCAAUUGCUGUGCUCUUUCAGGAGAAAAACUCUUUCUUCCACGUUCAGCUUUUUAUAAUGUUAACUUUCCUAAAUCUAAGCAGCAUUAUGAAAACCAGCCUUGGCUCAUUCAAGGGAGAAGAGACCAGCUAUGACCACGUGGAGAGAGAGAGAGAAAGGAGAAGAGAGGAGAAGAAGAGAAAGGACAAGAAAGCAAGAGAGCAAGAGGGGAAGCAAGAGAGAGAAGAGGAGGCAAACUGCCCCUUAUAUUGUGAGGCAGAAACUAUCACCCACUGAGUCACCGGAGUUUCAGACCUGUACUCAACCAGGACUAGGUUGCCUGAACAGACCACUUCUCCACAGGCCAAUCCAUAAUAGAUGAAAACUUCCAAAACUCUGAAUUACAAUAAACUUGUUUUCUUUACAAA